rnacentral:rRNA from 1 species
CAGCCGCCGCGGGAAUGCGAAGGGGGCUAGCGUUGUUCGGAUUUACUGGGCGUAAAGGGCGCGUAGGCGGACUGAUAAGUCAGGGGUGAAAUCCCAAGGCUCAACCUUGGAACUGCCUUUGAUACUGUUUGUCUUGAGUUCGAGAGAGGUAAGUGGAACUGCGAGUGUAGAGGUGAAAUUCGUUGAUAUUCGCAAGAACACCAGUGGCGAAGGCGGCUUACUGGCUCGAAACUGACGCUGAGGCGCGAAAGCGUGGGGAGCAAACAGGAUUAGAUACCCGCGUAGUCCCUGUCUCUUAUAA